UGGGCUGGCCGAAAGGCCCUGGUCCACCCAAGGGCGGGGACGUUUUCC
rfam:Olsenella sp. oral taxon 807 strain F0089, complete genome.